rfam:Flavobacterium flevense strain DSM 1076 genome assembly, contig: Ga0131122_101
CCCUAGCCCUGAUAGUAGUGGAAAUCCUUUAUUGUUUUUCUUUAAAACAAUAAAGAUUGUAGCGGAUAGCAGGAAAAAGC